rnacentral:rRNA from 1 species
UGCCAGCCGCCGCGGUAACACGUACUGUGCGAACGUUAUUCGGAAUCACUGGGCUUAAAGGGUGCGUAGGCGGUUUAAUAAGUAGGGUGUGAAAUCCCAUGGCUCACCCAUGGAACUGUUUUCCGAACUACUAGGCUUGAGGACAGGAGGGGGAAGUGGAAUUCCUGGUGUAGCGGUGAAAUGCGUAGAUAUCAGGAGGAACACCGGUGGCGAAAGCGACUUCCUGGCCUGUUCCUGACACUGAGGCGCGAAAGCUAGGGGAGCAAACAGGAUUAGAUA